UCGUUGCCGUGGUUUUUUUUUUUGAGGGGUAGAUUUAUAUCUAGCUAGGAGUAUUUCCUUGAUCGCUUUGCCAGUCCCAAUCGUUGCAUUGGAAGAGCUGCGGGCCGCGAUAGGUGUUGGACUGUUAGAUUUGUGGGCCAGAGGAGAGAACAAGGGAAAGGAAGGUCCGGCCCAGCCUAUUUCAGCAUAACCGGAAAAAGAAAAGCAGCAGCUCCGCAGACACGCCGCCACAAUCCCGCCGCCGGCAACGGCUAAUACCACCACCCCGAACUACUACUUCCCAUGUCCCGCCAUUUCUUAACCAAGAGUCCAAGACUUCAGAACUCUUCGAUCCUUCAUGCUCUGCAACCUCUGACGGCGGCGGCACCCGUCGCUCGGCAUCUGUGACUUGGCUGCACCCGCGCCCGCCACCUGUUUGCUGUUUUGCUUCAAUCUGUUACGCUCCCAGAUUAGUUCCUGCCACAUGUCUCUCUUUGCAUUUUUGCCUUUAUUUUUUUCUUCUAAUGCUGUACUUUUUUGUGUCUAAAACUGACAUUUAUGUUCUGCUGCCUAAGUCUUCAGACGACGAUGCAAUGAACUUGGAGUUCAUUAGAGAAUCUUUAAUGACACAGGAUAAUAGGAUCUUCUACAGCUUACUGGAGAGAUCUGAGUUACCAAUGAACCUUGAAACAUACAGUAAGGAGUCUUGCGAGGUCCCUGGUUUCAAUGGAAGCCUGAUGGACUUCAUCAUGCAGGAGACUGAAAAAGCACAUGCAAGGGCUGGAAGGUAUAAGAGGCAUGGAGAGUUGCUCUUUUUCAGCCAAGUGGUGCUGGAGCCUGUACUCCCAAGGUUUUAGUCCUCCGAUGUUCUACACUCUUUUGCUGGGACUAUAAAUUUCAACAAAGUUAUAUGGGAGACAUAU